AUGUACCACGCUACACUCCGGAUCCUCCGCGCCGUCUGCACCCACCUGGCGACUGCUCGCUACGUUUUGUUAGCC
rnacentral:sRNA from 1 species